CCCACAGGCGUGGAAGCUGCACUUGCUAGACUAAGAGGAAACAGCAGACCAGGACAGAAACAUCGUCUUGAAAAGGCAACUCAACAAGGAGAAGAAAACCCAACUCUUACCUGGCAGCAGAAACCCCCAGAUGAUGCCUACCUGUUGGACCGUUCCCAACUAAUACCUUCCUAAUCAUUGCCUGGUGCGCAUUUCCUUACAUUUUUGCUGUUCCAAAUUUAAGCCAGAGGACAAAUAAGCUGGUGGGACUCAAAAACUGGCAGCCAGCUUGUAUGUGAUGUACAAACUCGCACAUUUUUACCCAGAUGGAAAAACUGUGUUGGAAAGCCGUUAUUUUUGAAAGGUCCCCCUUCUGCUGGAGUUGCUGAGGCAAAGGUUUCAGAAUGUGAUUCCGCUGGAAAAUGCCUUCGACGUUCUAUUGAAAGCACUAACAAAAAGUAAACUGCCACCCCUCCGUGAAAAUGUUAUCUGUUGAACAAACGUAGCCUACAGCACGAAUCACAUCUUUUAAAGAAGUGAACUUAAAUUACUUUCCGUCAUGCAGACAUCUUACAUCCAUUACUCAAGAAAAGUGCACUUAAAUUUAGAAAAGUAACGACCAAACAUACGCUGAAAUAUUAAAAACACCACCAAUGCCACAGAGCAGCUCUCAGUGCCGCCUUUGAUCUUUUUGAUACCAUCUCCAGUACUUAAUUUGGGUUUAUAAAGACAUAAAGUGAAAACUUUGCAUUCAAACACAGCUUUUCAUUGCGUGUCAGAAUCAGGAAGGAACUUCAGAAGGGAAAGGCAGCUUGAACAGACAACAGGCUUCUACCUACAGAAGUACGGACAGGCAUGGUGAUCCCUAACUGUUUUUUCUCUGUUCACGUCACAGAACUAUUUUUCUUUGUAUAAAAGCACGGGGGAAAAAUUACUGGGAUCAAUGGAAAAAAAAAAAAAAAACAGAUCUCUUUUAAAUAAAUAUUUU
rnacentral:lncRNA from 7 species